UGGGGAAUAUUGCACAAUGGGCGAAAGCCUGAUGCAGCGACGCCGCGUGAGGGAUGACGGCCUUCGGGUUGUAAACCUCUUUCAGCAGGGACGAAGCGCAAGUGACGGUACCUGCAGAAGAAGCACCGGCUAACUACGUGCCAGCAGCCGCGGUAAUACGUAGGGUGCGAGCGUUGUCCGGAAUUAUUGGGCGUAAAGAGCUCGUAGGCGGUUUGUCGCGUCGGCCGUGAAAACUUGGGGCUUAACCCCAAGCCUGCGGUCGAUACGGGCAGACUUGAGUUCGGCAGGGGAGACUGGAAUUCCUGGUGUAGCGGUGAAAUGCGCAGAUAUCAGGAGGAACACCGGUGGCGAAGGCGGCAUCCUGGACCGACAUUGACGCUGAGGCGCGAAAGCCAGGGGAGCAAA
rnacentral:rRNA from 1 species